rnacentral:rRNA from 1 species
GUAGGUGGCAAGCGUUGUCCGGAAUUAUUGGGCGUAAAGCGCGCGCAGGCGGCUCUUUAAGUCUGAUGUGAAAGCCCACGGCUCAACCGUGGAGGGUCAUUGGAAACUGGAGAACUUGAGUACAGAAGAGGAAAGCGGAAUUCCACGUGUAGCGGUGAAAUGCGUAGAGAUGUGGUGGAACACCAGUGGCGAAGGCGGCUUUCUGGUCUGUAACUGACGCUGAGGCGCGAAAGCGUGGGGGGAGCAAACAGGAUUAGAUACCCUGGUAGUCCACGCCGUAAACGAUGAGUGCUAAGUGUUAGGGGGUUUCCGCCCCCCCCUUAGUGCUGCAGCUAACGCAUUAAGCACUCCGCCUGGGGAGUACGGCCGCAAGGCUG